AGCGAACGCUGGCGGCAGGCCUAACACAUGCAAGUCGAACGAACUCUUCGGAGUUAGUGGCGGACGGGUGAGUAACACGUGGGAACGUGCCUUUAGGUUCGGAAUAACUCAGGGAAACUUGAGCUAAUACCGGAUGUGCCCUUCGGGGGAAAGAUUUAUCGCCUUUAGAGCGGCCCGCGUCUGAUUAGCUAGUUGGUGAGGUAAAGGCUCAGCAAGGCGACGAUCAGUAGCUGGUCUGAGAGGAUGAUCAGCCACAUUGGGACUGAGACACGGCCCAAACUCCUACGGGAGGCAGCAGUGGGGAAUCUUGCGCAAUGGGCGAAAGCCUGACGCAGCCAUGCCGCGUGAAUGAUGAAGGUCUUAGGAUUGUAAAAUUCUUUCACCGGGGACGAUAAUGACGGUACCCGGAGAAGAAGCCCCGGCUAACUUCGUG
rnacentral:rRNA from 1 species